GCAAGUUUCAACGAACUAAACGAACCAAAUGAAAAUUCCCAUCCCUCAAGCUCUCACUAAAGGCCCCUUCAUAUCUCAUCUCACUGCAUUUUCACGGCAACUUUUACUGAGGAGACAUGAUAAAUUUUUACUCGUCAUUUUAUAGAUGAAAACGUUGAGACUCAGCAGCAAAAUGGUUUCUCCAAAGUUACAUCACUAAUCAGCGGUGAUCUCAGCUCUGCAAGCAUUUAGAAAAUGGGAUUGCUGCAUCUUGCUUUUAAAGUGCAUGCCUGCAUCAAAACAUAAUAUGUCUUUACCUCCUGUGGAACUUCCUAGUAAUUCAAAGGCGUAUUUCAUCUGAGUUGUCUGGACUGUCAGUGUCACUGGAAAAUUAAAAAUAAAAAUGUUCAGUUCUCACUGUGCUGUGUAACAAAGGAAUGGGGAUCCUUUGAGAGAUCAUAAUUUCAAAAGUGCUGACCACCAUUCCACUCUGAAAACAAAACAAAACCAAGAGUGCUUGCCAUGAUGUUACCAAAGAGCUUUUAAAGAUUUAGAGUUAAAAUAAACCCCUUUUUCCAGA